rnacentral:lncRNA from 1 species
UUUUAGAAGGCAUCAGUCAUGUGAAUUAUCAAAACAGAAAGAACACACUUUUUCUUGGUUUGAAAAAUCCAAGACGAAAAGCUUAACAAAAGCUUUAUUAUGAAGCAUUUUACAUUUCGUCCAAACUAGUCAAAUUAAGCAAAAAUUUUGUUCAAAGAAGCAGGAGCUUUAUUCUUGUGCGUUCAACAUACUUCAUAUAAGCAGAACUUCAUUUUAUUCAAAUAAUUCAAGGAAUAGGUAUGUUAAGGCUAUUCCUUCUUUCUUCUAGCAUGAUUCAUACGAUACAAACGAAACGUACAAAUGCACAAAUUCCAUGAAUGAUUCUAUUUAUAGAAGUAUUAGAGAUAUAUAUGUUCUUGAAUUUCCGUGUGUCAUAAUAUUUUAUCAUUUGUUCAUGGGUCUCAGAAAAAAUAUGAAAGUUGAAAAGAGUUUACUUUAUGAUAUUACUCAGAGGAAAAAUGGUCUUAUGACAUUCUGAAUGAUUUUAUUAACGUAUGUUUCAUGCAUUGCAUUCAUGUGCAUUGACCCAUGACCAGAUGGCGUUAUAUACGCGUAUAUAUGUAAAUAUAUGUAUAUGGGAUAUGGGAAAAGGUUACGUCAUUAUAUAUGCACCACCACCUGAUCAGCUGGUAUAUGAUGACGAUGUUGCCCACAAUAGCUGAAAUAUGAUUCAAAUGGCGUUAUAUACGCAUAUGUAUGUAUGUAGUCAAACGGAAUUAUAUACGCAUAUAUAUAUAUAUAUGUAUGUAUAUAUAUGUAUAUGGGAUAUGGGAAAGGUUAUGGCAUUAUGUACGCACCACCCCCUGAUCAGCUGGUAUACGAUGAUGAUUUUGCCCACAGUGGCCGAUAUGAUAUGGUGGGAUGCCCUCAGAAGCUGAUAAUGUUAUAAAAUAUGUACCUAUGCACGACAUGACAUUCAUACGCAUAUGUAUGACGCUAAAAGUAAUUUAUGAUUUACAAAGUUAUUCAGAAUUACAGGUUGAGUCAUGUACUCUAUAAUUCUUCCAUGUCUCUUAUGUACUUAUUUAUACGCCUUACAUACUCGGUACAUUAUUCGUAAUGACAUCCCUUUUGCCUGGAGACGCUGCAUUUCAUGCCCGCAGGUCCCGAUAGAUAGGUUGAGAGCCCUCCAAGUAGGCUAUCAGCUCAG